UACGUAGGGUGCAAGCGUUGUCCGGAAUUAUUGGGCGUAAAGAGCUCGUAGGCGGUUUGUCGCGUCUGCUGUGAAAACUCGGGGCUUAACCCCGGGCCUGCAGUGGGUACGGGCAGACUAGAGUGCGGUAGGGGAGACUGGAAUUCCUGGUGUAGCGGUGUAAUGCGCAGAUAUCAGGAGGAACACCGGUGGCGAAGGCGGGUCUCUGGGCCGUAACUGACGCUGAGGAGCGAAAGCGUGGGGAGCGAACAGG
rnacentral:rRNA from 1 species